UUCCCAGUUCUUAAUAUUUUUUUUUCCAACAUAGGAGAAACCCAAGUCAGAAGCAAGGUGUCCGAUGUAAUAUACUGUAAGAAAACACGAUCAGUCACUUCUUUGACUGCCCUGCAACAACAUAACUCUGUGUCCUCUAUUUAAAAACCUUAAUUUAUUGGUUUCCUGAAAAUGUCUAUCCAGUAAAUUUUGUUAUAAGCUAUAUAAAGCAUAGAGCUGAGAUGGAAAGUUCUACACUAAAGUUUUUAACUAUUGAAUAAUUAUAUAAUAUACGGUGUUCUGUGGACAUCUGAAAGAGAUCAGCUAUGAAAUAUGAAGUGAAAAGGGAUUCAGGCAAAGUGAAAUCCUGGCUUAUGACUUAGUAAUACACAUGAACCACAAUGCCAAAUGGAAAAUAUAGUUUUAAUUAUUUUUAGAAUACAAAAUAAUAAUAGGUGGCCUGUGGCCCUCUUACUUAUAUUUCUAGAUUUGAUGCCUAAAUCGAUGUUUUUCUUCAGUGAAAAAUGAAUCUUAUGAGUAUCUCUGGAUCUGAUAAAUGGGAAAAGAGUGAUAAAGUAGCUUUAAUCUCAGUUUCAUUUUAAGCCAUUUGCAACAACAACAAAAUCUUCUGUAUUAAAUUUAAAGCUUUAACUUUCUUAUCGUGAGAUUAUUAGCUGAGAUGCCAGCUAACUGGAAGCUUAUUUUGAAGUCAGCACUUAAUAACUAAAGUGUAAAAUAAUUCAUCCAUUAUAUUGAAAUACACUUUUUUCACAGUCAAAUUAUAAAGAAAAAUAUCAUUUGCCCCCUUUUUCCUGAGGGGAAUGAGAAACUAAGUUUAUAGCAACAUGAAUAGUGUUGGUAUGUCACAUAUUUAACUACUGUUAUGUGAAGCUGCCAAAGCAGUUUGAGUUCAAAAUACCCAUUUAUACCACAAUUACACGUGGGAUAUUUAGUGGUCAUCUGUCAGUACUGCUCUGAUUGCAAAUACAGGUGAGAAUACAAACUUAGAAUCUUCCUCUGCAUUGACUUAAGCUGAUCUGCUGUUGUGUAUUAACUAGUUGCACUGGAAAAAAGAAUGAAGCAAACUCAGAUAAUUGGUCAUCAGCUAAUCAAUGGCUUUUUGGCUUCUGGAAAGCCAGCAGAAUGGGAACCAAAAGCUGCUUGGGAAAGAGAAGGCUGAAGCCUUCCUGCGCCAUAAGUCAUUCACUCAGAUAUUUGUUGUGGUAUAAAUGGCCUUCACGAUAUUUUUCCAUGGCCAAAAAACCAAUAUCAAAUUGCUAAAUAUUUGACUUUGGGUUAUGAAGAUCUGUAUCAUCGUUCAGACUUUCUGAAGAAGUUUUUGUAUGUUUCAUGCUGUACAAAACAUGAAUGUAUCUUUGGGACGAAAUGAACUGGAUGUGAUUGGUGUUACGACUGUUGGAUUUGACGGACAAUUAUUUUCAUACCAUUUGAUUAGGAAAAAUACUGGGUGGGUGGAGAAAGAGUAUGUUUGUAAUGCUUCCAUGAUACAGAUCCAGCUUAAAAAAGAAAUAAUGAAGUUUCCAUUGUAAAUAAGAGCAAUAUUAUGAGAGUUUUGUGCCAAUGUAUAACAUCGAGACUUUUUCCUUUUCAGUUCAAAUUCAAAACUACCACUACCAUCUCUUGUUUAAAGUGGACGUGAAGGUUUUUCUGUCAGCAGAAAAAUGAGGUUCUUGAGAAGGCUUUGCGUGUUUUGGGGGGCAUUUAUAACUUCUGCUAAAUAUGAAAUAAGAUGCAGGUAAAUCACCAACACAUUGUCAGCCAAUCCCUUCUGAGAAAUGCUGCUUUACAUACACCAGAGAGCUGAAAACUUCAUUUAUCCUGAAUUUGAAGCAUUUGGUGAUUUAAACAGUGUGCGUGUCUGAAGCAGCAAGCCGCUGCUUUGAGAUAUUCCCUCCUACUUCUGAAUAACAGUUUGAUUUUAUUGCACCACAUUUAAUGCUAACUGAAGGUUCUUCUGCGUUUCUCUGUUACAUGUUGGAAGCUUACAUCUCAUGUAGGUAAAACAACAGUGCUUCAUCUAGAAUAGCUGAUUGUGGCCUGGUGCACCAUCCGAGAGAGAGGAGGUGAGAAAGCAGUUGGGAGAUGAGUACGUGAGGAGUUUGUUGUGGAACCUGGCAGCCUUCCUUGGAGAGCUUCUGGAAAGCUGUGUGGUACCCACGGAGGCCAAGACCCAGCAGUACUGCCCGGGGAGAUGGGAAGUAGAGAAGGUCCUGCAUAGUGAUGCCAGACCUCCAGUUGUGCCGUGGAGCUGAACUACGUGAUAUCUUUAUGCUUGUGUAGGUGUGUGGGCGAUGGUUGGUGGCUCAGGGAAUUAGUAUGAGUGUGAAAAAUACUCUACAGAUACCAGGUUGUCCAAUACUUACGGUGUAGCUGUGACUGUAGAGCUGUUACUGCAGGCAAUCUGAAGGGCCCUGAGGAUAAAGGAAGGAAUUGGAAUAUUGUCCAAAUUCAAGAUCUGCUUAUUAGGAUUUUCACACAGGACAGGAAUGGUGCCUUCUUAUGGCAUUCACAGUCGUUUUGUACUGUGCAGGUCCCCAGCAGGCUAGGUGUAUUUUAGAACCCACCUUUUAUCUUCCAUUGCUACUGUCAGUGCUGGGGUCUAAUAUCAAAAUCUGAGAAAAAGAUGUUCACUGAUGAAACGUAGAUAUUGCAUGAAAUUGCACAGUUUGUACUUAGUUGGUGAUUGGGAAGCUGUUACAAGGAGAAAGGAGUCGGUUUGUUUUAGUGUAAUGUUUUGUCCAAUCUCAUUUAUCUCCAUCACCGCUGCAUUUCAGCUCUGUGCUAGCUGCUGCCACCAGUGUGCAUCUGCAGUUUGUUGGGCUUCUCCAGCUACAGAUGGAAGCAGUGCAUAACCUGCAAGCUCCCGCUGCUCACUGGGGCAAAAAAUACAUCCUCUUUGUUUUCUCUAAACCAUCUCACCUAAAAAAUGGACUAAAAUAUCCAUCAUUCCUGUAUUCUGUAAGAUGAAGUUUGGUUUUAGGGGCUGGCUGACAGUUUGCUGGUGGUGGUAUUUCAUAUUUAGCAAGCUCACAUGUUUUAAAGGAUGAUUUUUCUCAAAGUGUUUUGAUGUUUGAAUGGUAGCACUUUAUCUCAUGCUUACUACUGACUGAACUAUCAGAGAAAAAUAAAUUGGGUUUGCAGAGAGAUGGGUUUCUGUGCGCAAUGGGUUUCUGUGCAGAGAUGAUUUGGGUUACACCCCGGUACGAAUGCUUCCAGCUGCUCCAACCAUGUCCGGGUUAUUGUUUGUGUAUUUGAGGGCUUUUCAGGAAACAGAUUAUUAACAACUUAUGGUCUCGAUUUUCCUGUCGUAAGAAGAACGUAAAAGCUUGCAUUUCCAAAAAGUGCCAAUAGAAAUACAGGGUACACUGAUCUGUGAUCUCCCUCAGCUGCACAUUAGCUAUGUUUACUGUAGAUGUUUCUGUUAAGCCUUGUUUUGAACAUUAGUUCAAUUGCCUGGAAAUCUUUUUGUUUGUUUGUUUUACUUUGGAUUUUGAUAACCAAAAGUAAUGCACAACAAGGUUUAAAGAUGAUGUUGUCCUUUUCUGCAUGGGCCGGGGGGCUGAGACAUGAGCAAAAGGGUUUCAACUGUUUACAUUAAGCUGUUUUCUCUAAGGAGAGUAUAUCCACAAAGAGCAGACUAUGAACUGUGCAGUGCAGUGAUCUCAGUACAUCGGGGCACCGCAGUAACAACUCAUCACAGGAAAAGCAAGGUUGAAAAGGACAGAAACUUGAAAUGGGUCAACACUGCACAAAGUGAAAAGGAUUCAGCUUUUGUCACUGCAGCUGCUGUAUGCGAUAAGGGCCUUACGCAUCUGUCCUCAGUUGGAUAAAACUUGCCGUUAAGUGACACGGUGACGUCCUACCGAAAACCAGCAGUUCCCAGCAUUGAUACGCGAUUAACAUUAACAGGUCUUGUUUCAGUCUAAAGUAAAAUCUCAUUUUAUUAUGUGAAGAAAAAAAAAAAAAAAAGCUGUUAUGCAUAUUUUGUGGAUAUAUUUAAUUUCAGUUGACAAAUAGUUGUCUGGGUACAGACUUGAAAAUAUAUAUAUAGUUUACUUGUGGAUCUUAAUUGUUUAAUUGCAAAAUAAAGACGUGCUUUAGUAAUUUAAUUCUCCGGCCCUUUUCUCUCGGCCGAGCACACGCCGGUCCCGGGUCCCCCCCGGGCGCCUCUUGGGCCGCCCCGCAGCGCCGCGUCCCGCCGGCCGCUAC
ensembl:lncRNA